GACGAACGCUGGCGGCGCGCUUAACACAUGCAAGUCGAACGGAAAGGCCUGCUUUCCCUUGUGGAUUGCGGGUACUCGAGUGGCGAACGGGUGAGUAACACGUGAGUGAUCUGCCCCCAACUUGGGUAUAAGCCUGGGAAACUGGGUCUAAUUCCCGAUAGGACUGCAGGGUGGUGCCUGUGGUGGAAAACGAUUUUCUAGUGGUUGGGGAUGAGCUCGCGGCCUAUCAGCUUGUUGGUGGGGUAAUGGCCUACCAAGGCGGCGACGGGUAGCCGGCCUGGGAGGGUGGACGGCCACAUUGGGACUGAGAUACGGCCCAGACUCCUACGGGAGGCAGCAGUGGGGAAUAUGGCACAAGGGGCGGAAGCCUGAUGCAGCGACGCCGCGUGGGGGAUGACGGCCUUCGGGUUGUAAACUCCUUUCGACCGCGAGGAAGCCACCUGGUUGGAAGGGUGGUGACGGUAGUGGUAGAAGAAGCACCGGCUAACUACGUG
rnacentral:rRNA from 1 species